ACAGGCAUGUUUCAUGUACAGACAUGUUUCCCCGCAUCUAAAUAGAGAGCAAAAUUGCAAUGCUCCUCAGAUGCAGCAGAGACCGCGGUAGUUCAC